ACCUGGCGGCAGGCCUAACCAUGCAAGUCGAGCGCGCCUUCGGGUGAGCGGCGGACGGGUUAGUAACGCGUGGGAACGUACCCUUCUCUACGGAAUAGCCUUUGGAAACGAAGAGUAAUACCGUAUACGCCCUUUGGGGGAAAGAUUUAUCGGAGAAGGAUCGGCCCGCGUUAGAUUAGAUAGUUGGUGGGGUAACGGCCUACCAAGUCUACGAUCUAUAGCUGGUUUUAGAGGAUGAUCAGCAACACUGGGACUGAGACACGGCCCAGACUCCUACGGGAGGCAGCAGUGGGGAAUCUUAGACAAUGGGCGCAAGCCUGAUCUAGCCAUGCCGCGUGAGUGAUGAAGGCCUUAGGGUCGUAAAGCUCUUUCGCCUGUGAUGAUAAUGACAGUAGCAGGUAAAGAAACCCCGGCUACUCCGUGCCAGCAGCCCGCGGUAAU
rnacentral:rRNA from 1 species